rnacentral:misc_RNA from 1 species
AAGUCGUAACAAGGUUUCCGUAGGUGAACCUGCGGAAGGAUCAUUAUUGAAUUUAAUGAGGGGAUAUUUGGUUGUAGCUGGCUCAUGAAUUUGGGCAUGUGCACACCUAUCUCUUUCAUCCACACACACCUGUGCACUUGUGAGGCAGAUGGGGAAUUUAUUGAUUGUUUUUUAAGAACAAUUGGUGCUGGACCCUCUGUCUACUCAAUACAUAAACUCAAUUUAUUUAGAAAUGAAUGUAAUGGAUGUAACGCAUCUAAUACUAAGUUUCAACAACGGAUCUCUUGGCUCUC